GGUUGUCGUCAGCUCGUGUCGUGAGAUGUUGGGUUAAGUCCGCAACGAGCGCAACCCCUAUUGUUAGUUGCCAUCAUUCAGUUGGGCACUCUAGCGAGACUGCCGGUAAUAAACCGGAGGAAGGUGGGGAUGACGUCAAAUCAUCAUGCCCCUUAUGACCUGGGCUACACACGUGCUACAAUGGUUGGUACAACGAGUUGCGAGUCGGUGACGGCGAGCUAAUCUCUUAAAGCCAAUCUCAGUUCGGAUUGUAGGCUGCAACUCGCCUACAUGAAGUCGGAAUCGCUAGUAAUCGCGGAUCAGCACGCCGCGGUGAAUACGUUCCCGGGCCUU
rnacentral:rRNA from 1 species